rnacentral:rRNA from 1 species
AGUGUAGGCGGCUAUUUAAGUCGGAUGUGAAAGCCCCGGGCUCAACCUGGGAAUUGCAUUCGAUACUGGAUAGCUAGAGUUUGGUAGAGGUAAGUGGAAUUCCGGGUGUAGCGGUGAAAUGCGUAGAUAUCCGGAGGAACAUCAGUGGCGAAGGCGGCUUACUGGACCAAAACUGACGCUGAGGCUCGAAAGCGUGGGGAGCAAACAGGAUUAGAUACCCUGGUAGUCC